UAUUGUAAUGUAUUUAUGUGGCCAAGUUCCACAUUUUUACAAAGACCAAUUAACAUCUCAAAAUAUUGCAAACAGAUUCUGCAAUCAGUGUAAAAAUAAAAUAAAAGGGAAAGGCCUAACUACUAUGUGUUAAUGGGCUCUAGUGCCAUUGUGCACUUUGGCCCAUCUAACAACAUUGGGCAGCCCACCUCCACCUCAUCCCCAACCUCGCUACUGGAGGCGGGGGGAUCGUGGCGGCCAUCCCAUGGCGCCCCUGGUCCCGUGGCGGCCAUCCCCGCUCUCUCCCUGUGGAUAAGAGGACGCCCCUCCUCCCUCCUCCCUCCCUUGAUGAACCCUAGCGCCCCCAUCUCCUCUCCCUCGCUCUCUCUCGAUAAAAUCGCCCGAGUAGCCGCCAUGGCCAUCGUUGUCGUCGCGGCCACUGGCCUCCCCGCGGCCGGAGCUCGUGUCCAGGAGGACCUCCGGCAUCGUCUCCUUCGCCACGUGCACCGGUUCGAGCUAGGACCACUCCAAGCCUCGCCAUCGAGCUCUUCUCUGCCGUGGACGUCACCAUCUCGCCGUCGAUUCGCCUCUCCGACACCACUCCAACCGCCCCGAGCUCUCCACCGCCCUCCUCCCAACCCCGAGACCGAUGCUGCCCCUGUGAUCGACUACGUCGACGAUGACCCCUCCUUGCCAGAGCAACCAG